rnacentral:rRNA from 1 species
AACGAGGAUUCGUCCAAGUGAAGCAGAGGACAGUGGCGGACGGGUGAGUAACGCGUGAGGAACCUGCCUUUCAGUGGGGGACAACAGUUGGAAACGACUGCUAAUACCGCAUAAUGUACUUUGGGGGCAUCCCCGAGGUACCAAAGAUUUAUUGCUGAAAGAUGGCCUCGCGUCUGAUUAGAUAGUUGGUGAGGUAACGGCUCACCAAGUCGACGAUCAGUAGCCGGACUGAGAGGUUGAACGGCCACAUUGGGACUGAGAUACGGCCCAGACUCC